GCUAACCGAGUGCCAGCGUCCGGGGGAAGACGUAGGUGGCAGGCGUUGGCCGGAGUUACUUGGCGUAAAGAGGGUGCAGGCGGUCGUUUAAGUCGAAGUGGAAAGCCCCCGGCUCAACUGGGGAGGGUCAUUCGAUACUGAUCGACUUGAAGGCAGGAGAGGGAAGUGGAAUUCCGGGUGUAGUGGUGAAAUGCGUAGAUAUCCGGAGGAACACCAGUGGCGAAGGCGACUUCCUGGCCUGUUCUUGACGCUGAGGCGCGAAAGCUGGGGGAGCAAACGGGAUUAGAUACCCCAGUAGUC
rnacentral:rRNA from 1 species